AGGAUUAUAGUUAAUUAUAAUAAUUGAUUUGCAUUCAAUAGGUAUCUUUGAAAGAUUAAUCUUA
rnacentral:tRNA from 1 species